UCGAACUAAAUCUAAUUCAAUUAGACUCAUUCCAAAGCUCUUUACUCAAUCAAAUUGAGUCAAUUAGUAAUCUAAUUACUAAUUAAUUCUUCAUAAAUGAUAGAGUCUCAGUCUCAGUGAUACUCUUCCAUAAAGCCCUACUCCAAGUAGGAUUCUUCACCAGAGUCACAAUCUAAUUGGACUCUUCAGCCAUCAUAUCUGAUCAAAUCUUCUAAUGUGUGUGAUCCUAUAGGUUUGAACCUAAGCUAGUAGCAUAGGAAUAACUUUCUAUACCAAUCGAUGUAACCAUCUAGCAAUGAUGACUCGACGAUCGGAUGGGUCGAAGUGUUGCAAAGCAAUUUUCUAGAACCUACUGGCAUAUGAUUAUCGUAUAAUUCAUCCCUUUGACCCAAAUGCUUAAGCUAACUUAGGGUUUAACUGUCAACUCUAAUUAAGUCAAUCAUAUUGUAUUUCAAUCUUUCAAAUUCAUCUCAUGGAUUAUCCUGACCAAGGUUUUGCUAAAUUAAAAUACACUGAUGCAUAUCUCCUACCAAUCUAGAGGGGUCAAUUCCAUCUUGACUCACACACCGACUUGAUAAGUACUUGACUGCAUCUAGUAUUCUUUCGUCACUAAGUUAGAAACUCAGAUAGUUCGAUACUAAAGUAUAGUGAGUUGCUUAUAAGUCACCGUGGUGGUC
rnacentral:lncRNA from 1 species